CCUACGGGAUGCAGCAGUGAGGAAUAUUGGUCAAUGGGAGAGAUCCUGAACCAGCCAAGCCGCGUGAGGGAAGACGGCUCUAUGGGUUGUAAACCUCUUUUGUCGGAGAACAAAACCCGGGACGUGUCCCGGACUGCGUGUAUCCGAAGAAAAAGCAUCGGCUAACUCCGUGCCAGCAGCCGCGGUAAUACGGAGGAUGCGAGCGUUAUCCGGAUUUAUUGGGUUUAAAGGGUGCGUAGGCGGUCCGUUAAGUCAGCGGGAAAAUUGCGGGGCUCAACCCCGUCGAGCCGUUGAAACUGGCAGACUUGAGUUGGCGAGAAGUACGCGGAAUGCGCGGUGUAGCGGUGAAAUGCAUGGAUAUCGCGCAGAACUCCGAUUGCGAAGGCAGCGUACCGGCGCCAGACUGACGCUGAGGCACGAAAGCGUGGGGAUCGAACAGGAUUAGAUACCCUUGUAGUC
rnacentral:rRNA from 1 species